GAUGGAUUGGAUGGAUAUGGAUUGGAUCGUUAAUGGAUGGAUCAAAACAAUCCAUUAUCCAUUAACAAUCCACUAAAAGUUUUUUAAAAAUAUCCAAUCCAAUCCAUCCAUUAAGAAUAAAAAUCCAUCCAAUCCAUCCAUUAUCAUAUUUUUAGUGGAUGGAUAUCCAUCCAUCCAUUUUUUUUUUCUUUAAAAUUUUUCUUUGAAAUUUAUUUUUUUUAAAAAGUUUUUUACUUUUUUUUAAUAAAACAAUAUCAGUUUUUUUUUUUUUAGAAAAAUUAUUUUUUUUUCAAAAAAAUAUAUAUUUUUGUAUUUUUGAAAAAAAUAAUUUAAAUUUUUUUUUAUAUUCGUAAAUUUUUUUUUUUAUAUUCGUAAAAAAA
rnacentral:lncRNA from 1 species